GCCUCAGGUCCCAGCCGGCUGCUACUCCUGCUGGCCAGCCUCCCCCUCGUCCUGGGAGCCCCUAUGUGAGUAACCCCCUUCCGGGUGGCGGGGAGCCGGCAUUUGUAGGUACAGGCUCUUGUGGAAUUCCAGAGGUGUGUGGGGGUCCAGGGUCAGAGGGUUGGGAUGCUAGCGGACCUGGGCUGCCUGUGGUUCAGGGGUGCUUGUCGAACCCAGGUAUUCGAUCAUCACCCCAAACAUCCUGCGGCUGGAGAAGGAGGAGACCGUAGUCCUGGAGGCCCACGAAGCCCAAGGCGACAUUCCGGUCACGGUCACCGUCCAUGACUUCCCGGCCAAG
rnacentral:lncRNA from 1 species